rnacentral:pre_miRNA from 1 species
CGAUGAUGAUGAUGACGAUGAUGAUGAUGAUGAUGAUGAUGAUGAUGGUACUAUUAUCAUCAUCGUCAUCGUCAUCAUCAGCGUCGUUAUAAUCA